rnacentral:tRNA from 1 species
AGCUUUAUAGUCAAACGAUGAUUUAAGACUGCAAUUCUUAAGGUGAGGACUCAGUCUUCUAAGGCUU